rnacentral:rRNA from 1 species
UACGUAGGUGGCAAGCGUUGUCCGGAUUUAUUGGGUUUAAAGGGUGCGUAGGCGGCUUUGUAAGUCAGUGGUGAAAUAUGGCAGCUCAACUGUCAAGGUGCCAUUGAUACUGCAGAGCUUGAGUACAGAUGAGGUAGGCGGAAUUGACGGUGUAGCGGUGAAAUGCUUAGAUAUCGUCAAGAAUCACCUAAUAGCGAAGGCAGCUUACUAGGCUGUAACUGACGCUGAGACGCGAAAGCGUGGGGAGGCGAA